UAUGUUUAUCUGCUGCCACUAAAUGUGUUUAUUAAUGAUAUUUCAAUUGAUUACAUUAUUUCCUUAUGGAAGUAUUCAUCCAAUACAAGGAGUGUGGUGAAGCUAUCAACUUCACAAAUGUAAAGUAGAAAAUUUUGGUUUAGCAAACACAUGGAUGGAAUUAUGACUUGUUUCUGCAGGGACAGUAAUACUUGAGUUUACUUUGGACAUACUUAUUUGCAUAUGAACCAUUGUAAGAAGUAUUUUCAACAUAUCAGCGUAUAAAUUCAAUUCAAAUUUAACUGUACUAUUUCAAUUUGGGUCAUAUUUCAAUUUGGGUCAUACCUAUAUAUAUGAGAGAGAGAGCGCAAAGUAAUUUUAUUUCUUAGUGUUCUGGACAAUGAAUAAUCUAAAUUUUUACAAGCAAAUCAUUUAGACCAUCAGUGAAGACAGUUU